GACGAACGCUGGCGGCGUGCUUAACACAUGCAAGUCGAACGGAAAGGCCCUGCUUUUGUGGGGUGCUCGAGUGGCGAACGGGUGAGUAACACGUGAGUAACCUGCCCUUGACUUUGGGAUAACUUCAGGAAACGGGGGCUAAUACCGGAUAGGAGCUCCUGCUGCAUGGUGGGGGUUGGAAAGUUUCGGCGGUUGGGGAUGGACUCGCGGCUUAUCAGCUUGUUGGUGGGGUAGUGGCUUACCAAGGCUUUGACGGGUAGCCGGCCUGGGAGGGUGACCGGCCACAUUGGGACUGAGAGACGGCCCAGACUCCUACGGGAGGCAGCAGUGGGGAAUAUUGCACAAUGGGCGGGAGCCUGAUGCAGCAACGCCGCGUGCGGGAUGACGGCCUUCGGGUUGUAAACCGCUUUCGCCUGUGACGAAGCGUGAGUGACGGUAAUGGGUAAAGAAGCACCGGCUAACUACGUG
rnacentral:rRNA from 1 species